AGGAAGACUCCAUCUCAAAAAUCAAUCAAUAAAUAAACAAACAAACUUGUUUUUGCUUUACUCUAUGGACUCACCCCAAAUUCUUUCUUGGGUGAGGUCCAAGAACUCUCUCGGGUCUGGAUUAGGACCCUUUUCUGGUAACAGUAUGUUUCUGUGGCUUGCAACCAAAAGAGUCCUAACCAAUAAACCCUCUUUUUUGAGUGCUCCUCUCCCCUAUAUAGGCCAGAAAUAGACCAGACCUAUGUCUACACUCAAAUGGAGAGUGGAGGACUGGAAAGCCAUGGUCCUUUGCUCACAGGAAACAAAUUGAACCCCGGCCUAGAAAAGCUCAGUGGGCACUGGUGAUUUUCC
rnacentral:lncRNA from 1 species